UUCCUGGUAGCUCAGCUGGUAGAGAAUCUGCCUGCAAUGCAGGAGACCCUGGUUCGAUUCCUGGGUUGGGAA
rnacentral:tRNA from 1 species